rnacentral:rRNA from 1 species
GACGAACGCUGGCGGCGUGCUUAACACAUGCAAGUCGAACGGUGAAGCGCCUUCCUUUUUGGUGGGUGUGGAUGAGUGGCGAACGGGUGAGUAACACGUGAGUAACCUGCCCCCUUCUUCUGGAUAACCGCAUGAAAGUGUGGCUAAUACGGGAUAUUCUGGGUCUGUCGCAUGAUGGGUCUGGGAAAGAUAUUGUUUCGGUGGGGGAUGGGCUCGCGGCCUAUCAGCUGGUUGGUGGGGUGAUGGCCUACCAAGGCGGUGACGGGUAGCCGGCCUGAGAGGGUGGACGGUCACACUGGGACUGAGACACGGCCCAGACUCCUACGGGAGGCAGCAGUGGGGAAUAUUGCACAAUGGGCGCAAGCCUGAUGCAGCGACGCCGCGUGAGGGAUGGAGGCCUUCGGGUUGUGAACCUCUUUCGCCAGUGAAGCAGGCCUGCCUCGUUUGUGGGUGGGUUGACGGUAGCUGGAUAAGAAGCGCCGGCUAACUACGUG